UUAAUAUAAAAUAAUAAAAUCCGCACUAUACAAUUCUAAUGCAAUAUAACUUAAUACAAUGUAAUAUAAUUCAGUGUAUCAAAAACACUCUCGAGUGCUUGUGAUUUGUAAUGAUCAAUAAUGGCACCAACGAUGCGCUAAAUAGUAAAUACUAAGGGUGUGUUUGGUUGUAGUAUUAAGGGGGUAUUAUAACACUGUUCACAUUAACAUAAUACCAAACCUAUGUUUGGAAUAAAAUUACAAGGGAUUAGGGUGGAAGGCUAAUGCGUCAACUGAUGCAUUAGCUUUGUUUUUUAUUUUUUUAUUUUGCUUUUAACUUUUGCUUUUUGCUUUAUUAUUAUUAUUAUUAUA
rnacentral:lncRNA from 1 species